AACGAACGCUGGCGGCAGGCCUAACACAUGCAAGUCGAGCGAGGACUUCGGUUCUAGCGGCGGACGGGUGGGUAACGCGUGGGAAUGUUCCCUUCUCUACGGAAUAGCCCUGGGAAACUGGGAGUAAUACCGUAUACGCCCUAUUGGGGAAAGAUUUAUCGGAGAAGGAUCAGCCCGCGUUGGAUUAGGUAGUUGGUGGGGUAAUGGCCUACCAAGCCGACGAUCCAUAGCUGGUUUGAGAGGAUGAUCAGCCACACUGGGACUGAGACACGGCCCAGACUCGUACGGGAGGCAGCAGUGGGGAAUCGUAGACAAUGGGGGCAACCCUGAUCUAGCCAUGCAGCGUGAGUGAUGAAGGCCUUAGGGUUGUAAAGCUCUUUCAGCUGGGAAGAUAAUGACGGUACCAGCAGAAGAAGCCCCGGCUAACUCCUUG
rnacentral:rRNA from 1 species